rnacentral:rRNA from 1 species
CGUAAUGAUGGCCAGGCUGUCUCCACCCGAGACUCAGUGAAAUUGAACUCGCUGUGAAGAUGCAGUGUACCCGCGGCAAGACGGAAAGACCCCGUGAACCUUUACUAUAGCUUGACACUGAACAUUGAGCCUUGAUGUGUAGGAUAGGUGGGAGGCUUUGAAGUGUGGACGCCAGUCUGCAUGGAGCCGGCCUUGAAAUACCACCCUUUAAUGUUUGAUGUUCUAACGUGGACCCGUGAUCCGGGUUGCGGACAGUGUCUGGUGGGUAGUUUGACUGGGGCGGUCUCCUCCUAAAGAGUAACGGAGGAGCACGAAGGUUGGCUAAUCCUGGUCGGACAUCAGGAGGUUAGUGCAAUGGCAUAAGCCAGCUUGACUGCGAGCGUGACGGCGCGAGCAGGUGCGAAAGCAGGUCAUAGUGAUCCGGUGGUUCUGAAUGGAAGGGCCAUCGCUCAACGGAUAAAAGGUACUCCGGGGAUAACAGGCUGAUACCGCCCAAGAGUUCAUAUCGACGGCGGUGUUUGGCACCUCGAUGUCGGCUCAUCACAUCCUGGGGCUGAAGUAGGUCCCAAGGGUAUGGCUGUUCGCCAUUUAAAGUGGUACGCGAGCUGGGUUUAGAACGUCGUGAGACAGUUCGGUCCCUAUCUGCCGUGGGCGCUGGAGAACUGAGGGGGGCUGCUCCUAGUACGAGAGGACCGGAGUGGACGCAUCACUGGUGUUCGGGUUGUCAUGCCAAUGGCACUGCCCGGUAGCUAAAUGCGGAAGAGAUAAGUGCUGAAAGCAUCUAAGCACGAAACUUGCCCCGAGAUGAGUUCUCCCUGACCCUUUAAGGGUCCUGAAGGAACGUUGAAGACGACGACGUUGAUAGGCCGGGUGUGUAAGCGCAGCGAUGCGUUGAGCUAACCGGUACUAAUGAACCGUGAGGCUUAACCUUACAACGCCGAAG